CUGUGCAUAUAAGACAAAGAAAGUACAAUCAGCAAAUAAAUUAUACUAGUAGUUCAAAACUUUUUUUAUUUUUUGUGUUCAAAACAACAUAAUCCAUAGUAGGUAUACAUGGACAAAGAAAAUCGAUUUGUAACAUGAUUAGAUUAGAUUAGAUGGACCAUGUGCAUGUUUAAAAUCACUAUAAGUUUUUAAAGUAUAAUUUAUAUUAAUUUUGUGCGAUUUUAUUUUUUAAUAACAUGUUGAAACUUUAAAUGUAACUUUUAUGAUGACAUGUAAU
rnacentral:lncRNA from 1 species